AUUAGACGCUGGCGGCAUGCCUUACACAUGCAAGUCGAACGGCAGCACGGGGGCAACCCUGGUGGCGAGUGGCGGACGGGUGAGUAAUACAUCGGAACGUGCCCUGGAGUGGGGGAUAACGUAGCGAAAGUUACGCUAAUACCGCAUAUUCUGUGAGCAGGAAAGCAGGGGAUCGCAAGACCUUGCGCUCUGGGAGCGGCCGAUGUCGGAUUAGCUAGUUGGUGGGGUAAAGGCCUACCAAGGCGACGAUCCGUAGCGGGUCUGAGAGGAUGAUCCGCCACACUGGGACUGAGACACGGCCCAGACUCCUACGGGAGGCAGCAGUGGGGAAUUUUGGACAAUGGGCGAAAGCCUGAUCCAGCCAUGCCGCGUGAGUGAAGAAGGCCUCGGUUGUAAG
rnacentral:rRNA from 1 species